GAGAAGAACGUAGCGAAAUGCGAUAAGUAAUGUGAAUUGCAGAAUUCAGUGAACCAUCGAAUCUUUGAACGCACAUUGCGCCCGGCAGUAAUCUGCCGGGCAUGCCUGUCCGAGCGUCAUUUCUCCCCUCGAGCGCAGCUUUCCCCCCCGGGGGAGGGCCGCGCCCGGUGUUGGGGCGCUACGGAGGAGCCCAGCGCUCCCCCGUAGGCCCCGAAAUGUAGUGGCGGUCCCGCCGCGGCGCCCCCUGCGUAGUAGUUUUACAACUCGCAUCGGGUCCCGGCGGAGGCCAGCCGUCAAACCCCCCAACUUCAAUAGUUUGACCUCGGAUCAGGUAGGGUUACCCGCUGAACUUAAGCAUAUCAAUAAGCGGAGGA
rnacentral:misc_RNA from 1 species